UGCCGCAUCAUUCUGGGGCUAGGGUGGCUUUGCACAAGCCUUGCCUUUGAGGUACCACAGAGCAGCAUCACCCCAGGGCAGAAGCUGUGCCUCCAAAAGGCCCAAUUCUCACUCUGUUCAUUCUUGUCAAAGGCAACGGUAUGAUUCUGUCGCCCUGCAUGCCAGCCAGUCACCUCUAUGAAGUAUUUGGAUACAUGUUUCCAGGUGCAGAAGAGUCAGCCUGAGUGUGCCAAGCUGAACAGACGUGCCAAAGGGUGUUAAACCCCUUGCCAUACAUGCACAAGGAGGUUUCCUGCAAGUACCUCGUGCAGAGGAGAGCAAACCCGGGAGCACACCCUGAUCCAGGCAAUGAUCCCAUACAGGUGCUGUCAGAGCCUAGACAUUUCAGUGUGACACAAACCACCUCAGAUUAUUAGCUCCUAUAAUUUGUAAUGCUUGUAACAAAUCUCUCCAUUCCUUUUGAUCUGUAUAUGAGAUCCUUUUUGUCCUUAACAGAGAAAGAACCACCUUGCUUCCCUCAAAGCUAUGCUGGAGGCCACCAGGUUAAUUCCAUGCUAUAUGCAUGGAUAAAAAGGAGGAUAAGAAGAAAGAGCAGGUCAUGAAGUGGCAAAGGUUGAGAAGCCCGGCUUUAAACACUUUAUGGGAAAUUGUAAAACUUCUAAACAAUUUAAUAGAUUAACUUCCCCCUUCAGUGGCAUCAGUAAAACUGAAUUAUCAUCCUCACUUUUAACUGAUGCCUAGACCCAAUACUCAUCCAUCAGGGAUCAUUUAGUGAUAAAGCAAUCAAUCCUGCCAUGGUGCAGAGGGGACAAACUAUGCAAGAUACCAUCACCAAAUAUCCUUUCCACCCCAAAGCAUUCUGUGAGUCUUUGUCAAUGAAAGUGCAUUUGUCUAGUCUUAUCUGUUGCAGUAUACGUGGAAUACAAAGGAAGAAAGUAAAAUAUGCAUUUGAUGUACAUGUGCAGAUGCCAGACGUACAAUCAAACCAAAGAGGACUGCCUUUUUCCGAGGAACUGAACACAACACCUGAAAACCAACAACUGCACCACUACCUCAGAAGAAUGCAAUGUGUGUUUUAUACCAAAGUCAUAUUAUUUUCCCUGUAA
rnacentral:lncRNA from 1 species